rnacentral:rRNA from 1 species
AACCUGCGGAGGGAUCAUUACCGAGUUAUACAACUCAUCAACCCUGUGAACAUACCUAUAACGUUGCCUCGGCGGGAACAGACGGCCCCGUAACACGGGCCGCCCCCGCCAGAGGACCCCCUAACUCUGUUUCUAUAAUGUUUCUUCUGAGUAAACAAGCAAAUAAAUUAAAACUUUCAACAACGGAUCUCUUGGCUCUGGCAUCGAUGAAGAACGCAGCGAAAUGCGAUAAGUAAUGUGAAUUGCAGAAUUCAGUGAAUCAUCGAAUCUUUGAACGCACAUUGCGCCCGCCAGUAUUCUGGCGGGCAUGCCUGUUCGAGCGUCAUUACAACCCUCAGGCCCCCGGGCCUGGCGUUGGGGAUCGGCGGAAGCCCCCUGCGGGCACAACGCCGUCCCCCAAAUACAGUGGCGGUCCCGCCGCAGCUUCCAUUGCGUAGUAGCUAACACCUCGCAACUGGAGAGCGGCGCGGCCACGCCGUAAAACACCCAACUUCUGAAUGUUGACCUCGAAUCAGGUAGGAAUACCCGCUGAACUUAAGCAUAUCAAU